CAAAUAAAUAUAAUAUGCUAAGGGUUAUGUGCAUGUAUUGUAAUUUGUGAUUUCAUAAACAAUAAACAGAUUGUCAUUUCUCAGUAAUGAUAUUCAAUUUAAGGUCACAAAGAGAAGAAUUGUUAUCAGUGAUGUGUAUUAUUCCAUAAAUAUUUUGGUGUUGAAAUUUGCCUUUAUCAGUAGAUAUAUCUCAAGCUGACACAACAGAUAAAAGAUCAGCUCUCCCCCAAUUAAAUCAAAUAUGCAUCAUAAACACUAAUCUCUUAUCAGUGAUGCAGCAAUGCCUAACAAAGGGGUGCAUAUCAUCUGCAUACUUUUGAUUGGUUGAUAGUUUUUGUUUUGAAAACAAGCCACUUUUGAUUGGUUUAGGACACAGGAAGUAAAUUUGUUUAAACAAGCAGGUGUCAGCAACUGAUAAUGAGCUACAUUUUUAGACAUGAUUUAGCAAAUUAAGAUUUUAAAUUGUACUUGUAGUGUCAAAUGUCUUGAAAUACUGUCAGCAUGAAGUAUUGUGUGAUGAAAACAAAGUGUAUUUACUACAAUGUAGUAAAUCAAAGGAGGUCCAAAGUGGCUGGAUACUGAAGAACAGUUGUAACAGGUUUUUACCCUUCAAGAGUUGGCCAACUAGAGUGAAGCAGGAGAGUGGGCUGUGCUUGACUAAGAAAAGCUGGAUUUGUUGAGAGAUCAAUACGCAUUCAAGAUCCUUAAGAAGAGAAGGACACAAGCAACAUCAGUGGUAGAUGUCACUCCAGCCCCUGCUUUUCCGGUCUCGCCUGCUGCUUUCCAGGUCCCUCCAGCUGCCAAGAUCAGGUCUAGGCACUGGCUGCCAUCCAGGUCCCCCUGGCGGUUGCGGUCGUGUUCUCAAAUGGCUGCUGUACUGGACUACUGGUCCCACCACCAUAUUCGGUCAAGGUCUCUCCAAAUGCUGAAGUCCAGGUUCCUCCGGCCACUGCGGUUCAGGUACCCCCAACAGCUGUGACCUAGUUCUCUGCAGCAGCUGCGAUCUAAAUAUAUUGACCCACUGCGGAACACUGCGGUUAAUCGUUUUUUCCAUACAAUCUUCCACAAAUGCCUCAUUUUAUAAUGAAGUGUACAAUUCUUAUGUUCAUAUUUGUUUGUGUUAUAAAGAUGAUUUUCCUGCACAUUGUGUUUUUUUCCCUUAAAACUGCAUGGUGCUAUUACUUUUUUUACUGAAACAUAUCAGCACAAAAUUGUAAAAGACUUUAACAUACUUUAAUACAAAAAAGUGUUUAAACCCACAGGAAACCACCUUGCCAAAAACCCACAAAAACUUACUGAGCAGGUUAUUGUUUGCCAAAACC